ensembl:lincRNA Snhg6 small nucleolar RNA host gene 6
AUGCCGUUUCCUGUUCUAAUGUCCCAGUGAUGGUCUGCACAAUUGCAUAUAUGCCUCAAGCUUUUCCGUGCAAGCACCAAGACUGAGAAGCCAAGGCUUGGUACUCAGUCCUUUAAGUUAGUACUGGCAGUGAAGGGCGUGAGUAAAAUGUUUUUCUGUCUGUGAUGGACGGAUGAUGGGACAGGAACUUAAGCACCACAGGAAACCUGGAGUUAGUAGAUGCCGAAGCCAUGGAGGAAUGAUGCUAUUAGCUUACGCUUUGGUUCUUAGAGAACACAGGGCCUCCAGCCCAGGGGAGGUGGCUGCCCCCUUACCCCAGUCACUGAUUAUGAAAAUGCCUUACAGGCGUGCUUGCCCACAGCCCUAUCUUAAGGAUGCAUUUUUACAAUUGUAGCUUCCUACACCAGUGAUUAGCUUGUGUCAAGGUGACAUAAAAGUAGCCAGUGCACACUCAUGCAAGGUAUUAAAACAUGGAAGUAAAAUGAGAGUUCACAAAUAUUUUAAUUUUUAGGUGCAACAAAACCUGUCUCAUUUGAAGGUGCUUGAACAAAUAUUUUCUAAACACUUGUCAUGGAGAGUGAUUGAAACAAGCUGCCAGGACUACAUUUGCCAAUAACAAGCAUGUAGGUGGCUGUAGUGGAUGUCCAACUUUGGGAGCUGUGAUGUCUAAAAAUCCUUUAUUGUUUUGGGUGCAGCUUACAUAUUGGAAGGUAAAAUGAAGGCCAUGAACAAAGUCAAGAAGCCAUAAACAGAAGCAAAUGGUGAAAAUUAAUAUCUAAUUUAAUAUUAAUAAGUUAUAUAAAUAAACAGUUAUUCUUAA